rnacentral:rRNA from 1 species
UGGGGAAUAUUGCACAAUGGGCGCAAGCCUGAUGCAGCCAUGCCGCGUGUAUGAAGAAGGCCUUCGGGUUGUAAAGUACUUUCAGCGGGGAGGAAGGGAGUAAAGUUAAUACCUUUGCUCAUUGACGUUACCCGCAGAAGAAGCACCGGCUAACUCCGUGCCAGCAGCCGCGGUAAUACGGAGGGUGCAAGCGUUAAUCGGAAUUACUGGGCGUAAAGCGCACGCAGGCGGUCUGUCAAGUCGGAUGUGAAAUCCCCGGGCUCAACCUGGGAACUGCAUACGAAACUGGCAGGCUAGAGUCUUGUAGAGGGGGGUAGAAUUCCAGGUGUAGCGGUGAAAUGCGUAGAGAUCUGGAGGAAUACCGGUGGCGAAGGCGGCCCCCUGGACAAAGACUGACGCUCAGGUGCGAAAGCGUGGGGAGCAAACAGG